UACAGAGGUCCCAAGCGUUACUGAGAAUCACUGGGUUUAAAGGGUGCGUCGGUGGUCCGUUAAGUCAGUUGUGAAAUCCCCGGGCUCAACCCGGGAACUGCUUCUGAUACUGGCGGACUUGAGGCCAGUAGGGGUCACUAGAACUGACGGUGGAGCGGUGAAAUGCGUAGAUAUCGUCAGGAAUGCCGGUGGUGAAGACGGGUGACUGGGCUGGUUCUGACACUGAGGCACGAAAGCGUGGGGAGCGAACGGG
rnacentral:rRNA from 1 species